ensembl:lncRNA
CAAUAAUAAUCACCAAACUAACUUUGGUUGUACCAAUGUAAUGGUAGUGUUUUGAUGUGCUUUUAUAUGACAGAUAUCACAGUAAUAACAUUUACUGUACCAUGCUUUUAACACCUUUUAAUAUAAAUCCAAAAAAGUAAAUAAAUAAAGGACUCAUAUUUUUUUUCCAUCUUGCAGUUCAUUCAUAUCAGUUUAUAUCUUAAAUAUUUUGCUCACAUAACAUUAUUAACAUUCUGUAUAAAAUUCUAUUUUAUUUUCUCUCCCCCUUUUUUUUAUUAUUUUUAUUUAUUUAUUUUUUUAGCUGAAAAGACGUAAAGGAAGCAGUCAACCCAGUUGUGUUUGUGGAGAGGUAUUCCUUCAGAAAUGGAGAAGAUAGAAAGCUGUGGAGGCACACAUUUGCAGAGCCGAAAAACGCAAGACAUCUGUCAUAAAUGGAUAAGGAAGUGUGACGCCGCUGCUCAGCUUUGAUGUCAUUGGCUGUGAAUUUUCCUUGUCACCGCAGGACAGUCUGUGGUUGGACUAUAUUUUAACCCAUAUUAAACAGCGCAUCAUGUUACAAAAGUAUGUUUUGCUGCUAUUAUCACAUUAGUAAUAUAUUAAGUCAACAAUGAAGUGUUGCUAUGUUGAGAAAAAUCACCUCUAUAGCGAGAUCCUAACCCUAAUCCAAAGCGUAACUUCAAUGAACUACAAAUAACAGCGCCUAGUUUCCCCUUUCCAUAGAUAGAACGACAGAGGCUUGUGGGUAAUGUAGUUUAAAACUUUUUAUUAACGAAAUGAAAUAAAUAAUAUAUUUAAUGGAAAACUGGAUAUGUAAAUAUGUUCAUUUUGUAAACCUCUAUGAUAUAUUUGAGAGGCAGGCUGAAAUUUGGUAUUUUAGAGUGAGCAAUAUUUAAAAUGCCUUUAUGCCACCUUUACAUUUAUUUCUGAAAACUGUGCCCAACAUUAUUUUAUCAGCAUAGCAUAAAUUUUCUCUUUGAUUUGUUAAUUGGUCUCUGAUUUACAGGCAUUUGAAAUGUACAGUUUUUGGCUCUUCCGGGGGUGCCACCGGGGGUCUCUUCAUCAUGGACAACAAACUGAGUUGAGUCACAUUUAUAUCUGACAGUUUUCACAGUUCACCCUUUGCUAUUCUUACGUCAUGGCUAGUAUAGCUUUUGACAGGACAUUGUGAGGCCAUCUGAUGAAACAUGGAAAAAUAAGAAAGAAAUGUUGUAAUAAUAAUAAUAGAUUAUUUCUUUGAUUUUUGAAGUAAACGGCAAUAAAUAUAAUGGAUGAACCUGCAACAACUUGCCAUUAUCUAUUCCCCGCUGUUAAGCAGUAAUCAAGCACAAUUUAUACACAUUGUGAUACCUCACUAUUACACAAGGACAAAUUAAUUCAUAUAUUCAUUCAUAUAUAUCUAAAUAGCAAAAUGCAGUGUAAAAAUGUCAUCCUCACCCCCGUAUCUUGCUCCUCACGUGCUGGACAUCAGUAAUGUGCAUGCUCUUGCUUUGAAUGCAGUACAAGAUCCACGUUGAUCAUUCCUGGUACAUCCUCAGUUAUCCCUCAAGUGUUUGUAACAAUAAAGCCCAUGGCACCAUCUUGUAAUGCAAAAUAAUUAAUCUUGUAACUCCCUUUAUUUCACAAAAAAAUUUGAAUAUCUGUUACUAAUUAUAUACAAUAAUACUUUCUGGUGUAUUCUUGUUCCAGAUGUCAGUAAUCUGAUCAAAAAUGUUUGUCUUAAGUAAAAAUUAAUCCAGAUAAUU